AGCGAACGCUGGCGGCAGGCCUAAAACAUGCAAGUCGAACGAACCCUUCGGGGUUAGUGGCAGACGGGUGAGUAACACGUGGGAACGUGCCCUUUGGUUCAGAACAACUCAGGGAAACUUGAGCUAAUACUGAAUAAGCCCUACGGGGGAAAGAUUUAUCGCCAUUGGAGCGGCCCGCGUCUGAUUAGCUUGUUGGUGAGGUAAAAGCUCACCAAGGCGACGAUCAGUAGCUGGUCUGAGAGGAUGAUCAGCCACACUGGGACUGAGACACGGCCCA
rnacentral:rRNA from 1 species